rnacentral:rRNA from 1 species
AUUGAACGCUGGCGGCAGGCCUAACACAUGCAAGUCGAACGAGUGGCGGACGGGUGAGUAAUGUCUGGGAAACUGCCCGAUGGAGGGGGAUAACUACUGGAAACGGUAGCUAAUACCGCAUACCCUCGGAUGUGCCCAGAUGGGAUUAGCUAGUGGGUGGGGAAACGGCUCACCUAGGGGACGAUCCCUAGCUGGUCUGAGAGGAUGACCAGCAACAUGGGAACUGAGAAACGGUCAAGCUUCCUAGGGAAGGAAGCAUGGGGGAAUAUUGCACAAUGGGCGCAAGCCUGAUGCAGCAAUGCCGCGUGUAUGAAGAAGGCUUUCGGGUUGUAAAGUACGUUCAGCGAGGAGGCGUUACUCGCAGAAGAAGCACCGGCUAACUCCGUGCCAGCAGCCGCGGUAAUAC